AUUGAACGCUGGCGGCAUGCCUUACACAUGCAAGUCGGACGAGUGGCGGACGGGUGAGUAACAUAUCGGCACGUACCGAGUAAAGGGGGCUAACUAGUCGAAAGCUUAGCUAAUACCGCUAAAUAUUCGAGCGGCCGAUAGUUGAUUAGCUGGUUGGUGGGGUAAAGGCAUACCAAGGCGACGAUCCAUAGCGGGUCUGAGAGGAUGAUCCGCCACACUGGGACUGAGACACGGCCCAGACUCCUACGGGAGGCAGCAGUGGGGAAUUUUGGACAAUGGGCGAAAGCCUGAUCCAGCCAUGCCGCGUGUCUGAAGAAGGCCUUCGGGUUGUAAAGGACUUUUGUCAGGGAAGCGGUACCUGAAGAAUAAGCACCGGCUAACUACGUGCCAGCAGCCGCGGUAAUUC
rnacentral:rRNA from 1 species